rnacentral:rRNA from 1 species
GCAAGAUCAUGCUGUACAGGCGUGCAACUGUGAGAAAUACAGCGGAUGGCUCCGUCUGAGUUCUCUGGCCCUCCUCUGCAAUUAUGGGGUGGGGUGCAUACUCCGCAGAUGAUGAUGGUUCAGCAGAGGCAGGCUUGCUCUGGAGUACAUAACUGUGUUUUGUCGGUCAAGUGUCAUUACAAUGAAGGAGGCAGAGGCUUCAGAAUCAUCUGCGGAGUAUGCGAUAGGAGGCCGGUGCAAUAAAAGGGUCUAUAUAGACGAACGUAGUGGCCCAGAUCAUAAGCGUACAUCAGAGCCAGCCUACCAAUGCGGAUGGCAUCGGUUUUAUUACUCCACAGAUGUGGGUCAUCGGCCAUGAAAAAAGAUGGGAUAACAAAUGUUAUGGAUACAAGAUGGCAGCAUAAACUUUGCAAUUUUGUGAUUUGUGAUCCGGAAGAUCUUUGCCAUGCGGAGGUCCAGUGAUUCUGGCUGUAUGCACUGGAGUUUAAUCCAUGUAUC